UACGUAGGGUGCGAGCGUUAAUCGGAAUUACUGGGCGUAAAGCGUGCGCAGGCGGUUUUGUAAGCCAGAUGUGAAAUCCCCGGGCUUAACCUGGGAAUGGCAUUUGGGACUGCAAGGCUGGAGUUUGGCAGAGGAGACUGGAAUUCCUGGUGUAGCAGUGAAAUGCGUAGAUAUCAGGAGGAAUACCGAUGGCGAAGGCAGGUCUCUGGGCUAUAACUGACGCUCAUGCACGAAAGCGUGGGGAGCAAACGGG
rnacentral:rRNA from 1 species